AACGAACGCUGGCGGCGCGCCUAAUACAUGCAAGUCGAGCGAGAAGACGUAGCAAUACGUUUGUAAAGCGGCGAACGGGUGAGGAAUACAUGGGUAACCUACCCUCGAGUGGGGAAUAACUAGCCGAAAGGUUAGCUAAUACCGCGUACGCUCCUUGGACUUCGGUUCAGGGAGGAAAGCGAUACCGUGGGUAUCGCGCUCUUGGAUGGGCUCAUGUCCUAUCAGCUUGUUGGUGAGGAACGGCUCACCAAGGCUUCGACGGGUAGCUGGUCUGAGAGGACGAUCAGCCACACUGGCACUGCGACACGGGCCAGACUCCUACGGGAGGCAGCAGUAAGGAAUAUUGCGCAAUGGGCGAAAGCCUGACGCAGCGACGCCGCGUGGGGGAUGAAGGUCUUCGGAUUGUAAACCCCUUUCGGGAGGGAAGAUGGAAUGGGUAACCCGAUUCGGACGGUACCUCCAGAAGCAGCCACGGCUAACUUCGUGCCAGCCGCCGCGGUAAG
rnacentral:rRNA from 1 species